CUUGUGUGGAAAACCAAGCGCUGGAGUAACUCAGCGGGUCAGGUAGGAACUGUGGAAGGAAUGGUUAGGCAACGUUUUUCAUUUAACGGGAUC